rnacentral:lncRNA from 1 species
UUGAUAACUGCGUUCCUACCCAAUUACUGACCAGGAACCAGACUUCUUUUGCAUAGCUGCAGCUUAGACACAAAUGCAUCGCUGUUUCUUGUUCCUGAUCGCACAGGGCACAAACCAGAUUGCAUGGCCACUCCCGGGCCAGCAGCUUGUCGGCAGUCAAUAACUUGCUUUGGACGAGUAGCCAGGCGAAAAACUAUGAUCUUUCCUCUGCAUGUGCUCGCCAAAUUCUCUUCCCAUCAAAUGUGCAGUACGACCCUUGCAGCUGUGCGAGAUAAGCUGACUUAGAAGUACAAGAGCCGUUAAUAGUCCAUCUCAAUGUGAUUUCAUCCGCCCCGUCCAUCAGUUGUAGUUGCAUGUUCUGAACCAAGUCCCACAGUGUCACAAUUUCUGCCAUUUCUUAAAUCGUGGUCAUACGCCACAAGCUCACAACCCCCUCGUCCAGUUGUGGUUGUUUAGAUCCUCACGAACUCAUUUCCUUUUCCACCAUGCCGCCUUAUAGAUUUGGCGCGACAUCCAUUGGAGCUCCACCAUUCAGCCAGCUACAUUGCCAGAACUUGGCAUGACUCCCGUCUCACGCAUUCACAAUGGUCCUUGCCCGGAACAGUUACUUGUCCACGGCAUCACAAGUGGCGGUGUCCCAAGCCAAGGUCUGUCCAGAUUGGUCCACUCAUACUACAGCCACCUUACUCUCAGUGCUCGGCUGAAAGCGUGAAGAUCCAGGACUCCCAGAUCUCCAAGGUGUUCCCCUCCAAUCUGCGAGCAAGGGAAUCAUGUUAUAAGAAAGAUCUUAUUUAAAAGGGAGACUUCUUUUUUUCUAAAAAAAAGCAUCGGAAUUAUCACAGGCCACCUUGCAUUCAGUUUACAAGGGUUGGAAGAUAGGCAGGAAACAGUAGGUGGUCCUGUUUUCUUGCAUCUAAU